rnacentral:lncRNA from 1 species
CUUCAGUCAAAAUGCCUGAUGAACUUGCGCUAUUUUAAUUUAUCCUUCCACAGGUAAGGGAUGACACAUGUACACACAUCUGCACAAGCUGAAGUCAGCAUGCUGCUUCUGUGAAAACAGCUGGCUUGGCUUGGUCUCAAUUGGAAAAUAUAGGGAUGGAUCCUGUACUAGGGCUUGUCUUUGGAGGGAAUCACUUUACAUAUAAAUCAAGGGGGGGAAAAGACCCUAAGGAACAAGGAAAAGAGAGUUCUCAUCAUGUCCUUCACUCCUAAUUCCUGUUUCAGGCCUUUCUUUUUCUCAACCCUUCCUUUAAAAAAGAGAGACAACCAAGUGGAAAGAGAAGGAGAAAAUAUCCUAAACCCUAUGUGAAAAAUUGUAAGUU